UACGGAGGGUGCGAGCGUUAUUCGGAAUUAUUGGGCGUAAAGGGCGCGUAGGCGGCUAAAUAAGUCAGUUGUGAAAGUCCGGGGCUUAACCCCGGAAGUGCGAUUGAAACUAUUUGGCUUGAGUAUGGGAGAGGGAAGUGGAAUUCCUGGUGUAGAGGUGAAAUUCGUAGAUAUCAGGAGGAACACCGGUGGCGAAGGCGACUUCCUGGACCAAUACUGACGCUGAUGCGCGAAGGCGUGGGUAGCAAACAGG
rnacentral:rRNA from 1 species